AUGACUAAAGAUGGGGAAAGUGUUCAGAACACAGGAUUUUUUUCUAAGGUUGCUGACUGGGAAAACAGGUUUGACUCCCGCACAUUCAUUCUGGCAAAACAUGGAUUUUUAUAAGGGAAACAUUACUAGGAGGUAGAAAUUGGUCAGAAGAAAACUUGGGACUUGGGAGUUGCCUCUGCAAACAUUUUGAGAAAAGGGAGAGUCACCCUGUCUCCUGAGAAUGGCUACUGGGUCAUAGGAUGCGAUGAUGGGGAAAAUCACUGGGCUUGAACAGAGCCAUUGACCCACCUGAAAGUGAAAGGAAAGCUUACAAAAUGAGGAAUAUUCCUAGAUAUGCAUGAUCAAGUCUUGUCCUUUUAUGAUGUUUCCAGUGAAAGGAAAUUGAACGUUUACAAAGGACUUGGUGAUGGGAAGCUUUAUCCCUCCUAUACAGGCUCUAUAACUACAAAGCAAGAUGAACAGCCGCUGAAAAUUGCAGUACAGUUGUACUUUGGAUCCCCAAUACCUUGCGAGUUGAACGUUUUGGCUCCUGAAUGCUGCAAACCCAGAAGUGAGUGUUCUGGUUUACAAACAUUCUUUGGAACUUGAACGUCCAAUGUGGCUUAUGUGCAGGAGCUUCCUGCAGCCAGUCGGAACCCUCAUCUUGGUUUCUGAAUGUUUUGGAAGUCUAACGGACUUCCGUAAUGGAUUCCAUUCGACUUCUGAGGUACCACUGUAUUUGAAACAAAAGGAGAUACCGGUGGGGAAAUGAAAAACAAAACAACCCUUGGCUGUCGUAGAAUCAAUUAAGGGCAUGUCUUUAAUUUAACCAGGUUGGUUUUUCUGCUCUUUAGAUAUUAACACCUUUUAGGAUACUUAGAUAUUUGACUCUAUCCCAGGGGUUGCCAGUGUGGUGCCUAUGGACACAUAUAUUCCUGCAGAGUCCUUCCCUGGAAUAUGCAGAGUUUGCUUCUCUGUUCCUCUGCUCCCCAUUGAAAUUAGGCUUGGGGGAAACUAUUUUAUUUUUGGGCAAUAAAAGAGGAUACAGAGUGUGCUUGGUUGCAAUUUGUGUGGGGUGCCCACAACAUUUCUCGAGUUUGCAAAUGUACCCCAAAAUGAUUUGAGGAUGCCUACAAUCUAUUCCAUUGUGUAUUUUAAUGUUGAGCCACCCUGAUACCCUCACUUAUAGAAAUAUUGAUAAUAAAAAAUAUUAAUAAGGGUUUUAUCUUUUACAAAGUAUUGUCUGUAACUGUGCUAAACAUUUGUGAUAAACAAAUAUCCUUGAUUUGAACCCAAACAGACCAAUUAAAACAGGGAUAUUCCUACAUCUAAUUUCCAGAACUAUGUAUUUGUAUGAGUUUGUUGAUUUUUCAUAGUUGUUAUUCCAUUCCAUUUUAUUUAUUUCUUCAAAUGUUCUAAGAAAGAAUAAUGCAAAUAUCGUUCUUAAAGAUACAUUUUGAUUU